rnacentral:lncRNA from 7 species
CAAGGAAAAGCUCCUGGGUUAGGAGGCCGGAGUGUCUGCAAAGAGCAGGGGCAGCAGUGCCGGUGCUCAGCGAGGUGGGGGGCUGCGUGGAGCCACAGGGCAGGCCCUGAGGGAAAGUGCUGGGAAAUGAGGGACUGGGAGAGGGAUGGCAUGAAGGGAAAGAAAAGAUGUCCGCAGUGAUACGGAUGCUCUGUCCCACGUCCUGCAGAGAUCAAUGACGUCAGGCAACACGUGGGAGCGCAAGAGGGCCCUGCAGACCUGCUCCCAGCUGCUGGCUGUUUGUGAAGAGCGUGGAGUGAGUAAAGAGCCCCACCACAUGCCCCUGCUCCCUCCCCAGUGCCCCUGAGCUCGCUCCACUUAGCUGUGCAUGCUGUGACACCCACCCCGUGGGGAAGGCACAGGCGGGAGAAGCUAGGGAGAGCUGGGGCUGCCUACAGCUUUUUUCCUGCCUCUCAUCCCUGCAGAGAGGAGAUGCCUGCAAGCACUUUGGCUCCUUGGUGGGAUUGCUGGUGCCUCUGACGUGUGACCCCAUGCCCACCUCCCGCCAGUUGGCUGUCACCUGUCUGAGCUCCCUUCUCCGAAUCCAAGGUGAGUAGAGCGGGCGUGCGCCAGCCCUCUGCUCUCCUCCGCAGCACUACCAGAACCCCACGGGCUGGGCCCAGUUUACAGGAGGGAGAGGCACCGUGCGCCGCUCUCUUCUCCUCUCCACCCUGGCCUCUGUCUCUCCCCUGUGGAAAGCGGUUCCGUUUCCAGAAGCAUGACUUCCCUUUUCUCCCUGUGCUCUUUCCAGCCAAGGCGACCAACAGAGUCAUCCAGACAGGAGACAUCGGGAGCCUGUGUGAGGGGCUGAAUGACUGCAGCACCGUCUGUCAGCUCCAGACCUCUUCCAAAAUCGCGCGGAUUGUGUGCAGAAGCUUCUCCCUGGAACACACCAUAGAUUUCAUGAUGGCCAUCAAGGACACCUUCCGGAAGGCCAAAGGAAUGCGUGUGCGUGCUGCUGGGAAGUGGAUGAUCACCUUUCUGCAGAUGCAUGGAAAGGACAUCUGUCGGGAUGUAAGAGACUUUCUUCCACGAGCCUUGGACUUUUGUUGGCUGUUGCACUACACCUUGUGCCGUUUGCCUCUUGUGCUAAAGAAGCACAGCCUGAGCGCAGAGCCAGGGCUUGGACAGGGUGACUGGUGUGAAAUUAGGCUAGGCCUUGGCGGCAUGUCAAGGGAGCAGGCACCGUUCAUGUGCUGAAUGUCCAGAUUAGGUCCUGCAGAGUCAAGGAUGCAGCAAGUCAUUCUUUCUCCCCUUCUUCUUUCAGCUUGAUCUUUCACCGAUCAUCUACAUCCUGCGCAGCUGCAUGUCGUCCCUGCAGCACAGCACGAACAUGCCAUUCCUGUGCCAGGCGGUGGCCAUCCUCACCCGCUGUCACACAGACAUCACAAUUGACAGCUUCUUCCACAGGCGUUGAGCCCACAGACAGGUAUUGGCACUCCUGCCUUUGCUAUUGUUGCUGUCCCAGUUGUAGCUUGCC